GAUGAACGCUGGCGGCGUGCUUAAUACAUGCAAGUCGAACGGAUGUUGUAGCAAUACGAUGUUAGUGGCGAACGGGUGAGUAACGCGUUGGUGACCUGCCCCGAAGUGAGGGAUAACAGCUCGAAAGGGCUGCUAAUACCGCAUGAGAUCCACCUGGUUAGAGUGGGUGGAUGAAAGGAGUAAUCCGCUUUGGGAGGGGCCUGCGUCCCAUCAGCUAGUUGGUGAGGUAAAAGCUCACCAAGGCGACGACGGGUAGGGGGCCUGAGAGGGUGACCCCCCACACGGGCACUGAAACACGGGCCAGACACCUACGGGUGGCAGCAGUAGGGAAUAUUGCACAAUGGGCGAAAGCCUGAUGCAGCAACGCCGCGUGCGCGAUGAAGGCCUUCGGGUUGUAAAGCGCUUUUCGGGGAGACGAGGAAGGACGGUAUCCUCGGAAUAAGGAUCGGCUAACUACGUGCCAGCAGCCGCCGCAGUAA
rnacentral:rRNA from 1 species